GGUGGUAAGGAAACAGAAGACCCCCGCCGGGCGUCAGCCCUCCCGGGCUGGGGGGAGAGGCAGUGUGGAGGGCCGGGCUCUGCCUGUCAGCGAGGGGCUGCUUCUCCUCCGGGGCUCCGUUGUGACGGAGAAAGUGUCCUGACUUCAGCGGCUGAGUGACUACUUUGUGCCUUCAGAGGAGACUCGUGUUCCGCUGGGUUGUGUGUCUAGUCUUUUACGUAUGGGUAUUAAGGAGUUCAUCCUUCUAAGCAGGAAAACUAGCCUCACUUCCUUUUCUUGUUAGCCUGCGUAGUAAUCUGCGGCGUGGAGACCAUUUUGCAACUGGAGGCUGGUGAUCUGUUUUAAGCAUAUCGAAAAAAGUUUCUGUUCAGAUGCCAGAGAGCUUAUGUGCCCUGACUUACUGAUAGAGGCUCUGUGGGCUGUGCUUCCCACGAAGUGUCCUCCUGAGCUGCUGGGCGAAUGCUGUAACUUUUGAAUGACCUAACCUUACAGCAGCUGACCACAAAAAUUAUUUUUAAAAAGCAUCAGAAGCUCUGAAAUGUUAGCUUUCUGCUAAUGUAUCAGUAUGUUACUUCAUGUCACCAUUACUGCAUUGCAAGUCUGCAUUAGUGCUAGCUGUAGGAAUGGGAAUGCUGCUCAGGUGUAAGUUGAAGACUGCAUUCGGUUUAACCUUUGUACCUUAGUAUCUGUCAUCUCGUUUAACUGAGUGAAUUGUCAUGAGUGCUCCCAAUAAUAUAAUUUUGGAGGAUAUAUUUUAUGGUAUCCUGUUUGCUAGUUAGGAUCUAAUUCAGUUCUUCAUUAUUGCCAUACUACAGAGCUGUCUGAUGGUGGCUUGAUGUUGUCCCCACCUCCCCACCCCUUGCUUUUUUUAUUGAAAUUUCAUCUUUUGAAUCAACCUUUGAAACUGCCUUCCCAGGUUAUAGUGAGUUUUAUUCCUUGUCAGUCUGCCCAGCUGUAAUGGAUAUUGUGUUAAUUUUUCCUGAGCAGUAAGUGAAAUUCAGGUGGUUCAGGUAAGAGGACUUUCAAAAGCCGUACUUAGGAGAAGAAUUUGGGUAUGUUAUUUAAAAGAGAGAGUAGAGAACAAGGCCCCAGAAAUGCUUUUCAUUGACUUUUCCGUAUCUCUUGUAUGUGUGUGACUUGGAACACAAUUGUAGAGAAAACUGCAUUUUUGGUGCACUCCUCAAUGUUUGGGGGGCUGUUUUUUUAUACACUUGAAACCUUAACGUCAAGUGGAGACUUACAUGUUUGCCCAACACAUGACAUCCCCGCAAGUGGGUCCAAAGGAGAUACAGACUUCCGUCUAGCAGGUGACCACCACCUCCUCUCAGUCUUUGAAGGUCUGUUCACCAGCAGCUAAGGCUCUAAAAGGAUGGCAGAAGGAUCCAUGUGCCCGGCGUGGCUGCCGCCCAUUGCCGUCCGGAGGUGUGCGAGUGCGCGCAUUCAGCGUGUGCUCCUUCCUCCUCCCGGGCACAGAAAUGCCGUGUCCCACAGUUGAGCAGGGGGUGCCGUGGAGGGAGCUGUGGUAGAGGCUGUUCCAGGAUCAGUCAGUGAAAGACACUGGACCCGCAAGGGCAGGAAUUGCUGGGGGGCUAUAGGUGAAGAUGCAGGAGCCUGAACUUAUUGCAAAAACACUGCGAGCUGUUCUUCAUCCCUUUAAAAAAGGCGUACCUUUGUCAGAGCUGCAGGAUGAAUACAAAUCCCUGACCGGUGAGUGGAUUCCCUUCAGGCACCUAGGACAUGGCACACUGGAAGGCUACUUGGAGAGCAUCCCAGGAGUGGUCAGAAUGGAAGGGAACAAAAUGGGAGAGAAUAUUUGAGCUCUGUUAUAAGCUGAGACCACAGCUCAGAGUCCACGCAAGCCUGCUGCAAGAGCAUGCAGUCAAACAGUCUCUUCCUGGCUCUGGGAAUACUCUGACACCCAAAAAGGCUGCCAAGACCCUUGCCUCUUCCUUUAAUCCCUUUGGGGACAAUGGGGCAGGAAGGCAAGACACACUCACACAUGCAGAGGUCUGCUAGCAGCUGAUGAUCCUGGCUGCAGGGUAUGUUCUCCAGUUUCCACACAGGAUGAGGAUUAAAUUCAGUAUACAGAAAACACUGCAAGGGGACUCAAAUUGAAAUACUGUACACUGCAACAGGUGGUUAUGUCAUUUCAAGGAACCCUGCUUCACUUCACUGCAUGUUCAGUUGCAAGCAGUGUAUGAUUGCAUCUUCCUCUAAGAAAACUUUGACUUCUGCUUGAAUAACUAGGCCCCUCCAAAAAGAGGAAUUUGAAGACUGCUUUGCCUUGCUGCAAGUGAAUUCAUCCACCCCAUCUAUUUUUACAUCUGAAUUCAUUCUAGCUCAAACCAUCAUUUAUGCUUAACUUAAAGGCACUGUGAUGUGAAAAUGAGGGAAGAAAAUGCUGAAAAUAACUUACAAUGUUAGUGACAGGAAAAACCUGAAAUGUACCAAAGAUGUGAAAAUGUGCAUUUAUGAAACUGAUAAACAGUGUAUGAACAAAAAGUCUUUUAUGUUGAGACCUUGAGAACAGAUCAGAGCUGAAGGUUGUCCAUCCUGCAUGCAUCCAGUAAACAGGAAAAUGCCUGUUAGCCAGGAGUAUGAGGAGAGCUUUUGUAAUCUUCUCUGGAAAUGGGCACCUCUCUGAAGUGCCUGUACACGACUGCCCACAGCAUGGGUGUUGUGGUUUAACCCUGGCCAGCAACUCAGCCCCACGCAGCUGCUUGCUCACUCUC